GACGAACGCUGGCGGCGUGCUUAACACAUGCAAGUCGAACGAAGUGGCGAACGGGUGAGUAAUACGUGGGUAACCUGCCCUCCUUUUUGGGAUAAGCCUUGGAAACGGGGUCUAAUACCGCAUACAGGGGGAUGGGCUCGCGGCCGAUGGGCUGGUUGGUGGGGUGGUGGCCUACCAAGGCGGUGCCGGGUAGCCGGACUGAGAGGGUGAUCGGCAACAGGGGGACUGCGAUACUGCCCAGGCGCCUACGGGAGGCAGAAGUGGGGGAUAUUGCACAAGUGGCGAAAGGCUGAUGCGGCGACGCCGUGUGGGGGAUCAAGGCUUUAGGGUUGUAAACCUCUUUCGCUAGCGAACGGGUACGUGGAGAAGAAGCGCCGGCUAACUACGUGCCAGCAGCCGCGGUAAUUC
rnacentral:rRNA from 1 species